GCUAAGGCGGCUGCGCGGCCGCCUCUCCAGAUCCUGCCCUAGUCGGGCGGAGCGCGGCUCCUUUUUCUCCUCGGCCCCGCCUCCUCCCCCAUCGCCAGGCAACCGGACAGUCUUCCGAGCGCUUGGAGAGGUGACGCAGUUGGUGACUUAACUUCCCUGGCUGCACAUCGAGAGAGGAAAGUAAAGAGUGAAUUCUGGGCUGUAAUUCCAUGCUGCCUUCCCUGCAUCUGAGAUCGCACUCUUUCUUGGUCUGGUUGUUUAGAUGGAGCCGACUUUCAUCCCUCAGAGAGUCAACCAGUCUUGCCUGACACUGCGGAGCGCCGUCCUACGAACACCUGAAGACCUAAGACUCACAGCCCCUGAGGCUUCACAGAAUGACCUUAAAUAGAUAAAUAAAAAUUAGCGCUCUUUCAGAACCACUCUCACAGCUGUGUCUGGUUUUAUACAGAAAGAGGGCCAAAGGCCUGAGGUUGUGAAGGCAAAAGAUGCUGGACGUGAAGCUUGGAGAACUAUAAUUAAUAACGCUCUACGGAUUUAGGAUGUAGGAGUGUAGUUUAAAUUUCUUUCUGCAUAGCAAAUGAUGACUUUCCUGUUAAUUCUUGCAUCAUUUUGUGCGUAGUCACCCCAAUUUUUUAAGGUUUGAAGGUUUACCUUUUCAAGUAGAAUGUCUGGAAAAAUACAGUGUAAAAUCUUAUUUUACAUGAGUUGAUGAAUUGCUUUCCUAUAAUUUCAUAUUUGAAGGGGCCUUAAUUAGGUCACAGUUCAAGCUCUUGGGCUUUAAGAUAAUAAAGCUGCAAUGUUAGGGAUUUGCCCAAGGUGACAGGACUCAUUUUCUGCAGAAACAGAUGGAACCUGUUAGUUCUGCCUGACUCCACUCCAUCAUCUCACCUGCUCCUCCUGUAUUUGGCUAAUGACAUUGCAAAUCUACCUCAGAAUACCUGAACAGAGAAAUUAAUGGAAGCUAAAAUGCCUAGUGAAGGGGAAACCUGUAUGUCAUCAGGGAUUUUGCUACUAUACUGUGAUAAGCCACAUAUACAGCAGCUACAAAAUUCCACUAUUAUAUCUAGCACAAGUUU